rnacentral:tRNA from 1 species
ACUCACUUGGUAGAGUACAAAGCUCUUAACCUUGUGGACGUGGGUUCAAGCCCCAU